rnacentral:rRNA from 1 species
AGCGAACGCUGGCGGCAGGCCUAACACAUGCAAGUCGAACGAAGUCUUCGGACUUAGUGGCGGACGGGUGAGUAACACGUGGGAACGUGCCUUUAGGUUCGGAAUAACUCAGGGAAACUUGUGCUAAUACCGAAUGUGCCCUUCGGGGGAAAGAUUUAUCGCCUUUAGAGCGGCCCGCGUCUGAUUAGCUAGUUGGUGAGGUAAAGGCGCACCAAGGCUACGAUCAGUAGCUGGUCUGAGAGGAUGACCAGCCACAUUGGGACUGAGACACGGCCCAAACUCCUACGGGAGGCAGCAGUGGGGAAUCUUGCGCAAUGGGCGAAAGCCUGACGCAGCCAUGCCGCGUGGAUGAUGAAGGUCUUAGGAUUAUAAAAUCCUUUCACCGGUGAAGAUAAUGACUGUAGCCGGAGAAGAAGCCCCGGCUAACUUCGUGCCAGCCGCCGCGGUAACAC